UACGUAGGGUGCGAGCGUUGUCCGGAAUUACUGGGCGUAAAGAGCUCGUAGGUGGUUUGUCGCGUUGUUCGUGAAAACUCACAGCUUAACUGUGGGCGUGCGGGCGAUACGGGCAGACUGGAGUACUGCAGGGGAGACUGGAAUUCCUGGUGUAGCGGUGGAAUGCGCAGAUAUCAGGAGGAACACCAGCGGCGAAGGCGGCGCGUCUGGGCUGGAACUGACGCUGAGGAGCGAAAGCGUGGGAGCAAACAGG
rnacentral:rRNA from 1 species